rnacentral:rRNA from 1 species
UACAUGUGGGGCAAGCGUUGUUCGGAAUUACUGGGCAUAAAGGGUGCGUAGGCGGUUUGUUAAGUCAGGGGUGAAAUCCGGUGGCCCAACCAUCGAACGGCCUUUGAUACUGGCGAACUUGAGUGCGUGAGGGGUAACCGGAACGAGUAGUGUAGCGGUGAAAUGCGUAGAUAUUACUCGGAAGGCCAACGGCGAAGGCAGGUUACUGGUACGCAACUGACGCUGAGGCACGAAGCGUGGGGAGCAAACAGG